UACGUAGGGGCCGAGCGUUGUCCGGAGUUAUUGGGCGUAAAGCGCGCGCGGGCGGCUUGGCGCGCCCGACGUGAAAGCCCCCGGCUUAACCGGGGAGAGUCGUCGGGGACGGCCGGGCUUGAGGGCGGGAGAGGGUGGUGGAAUUCCCGGUGUAGUGGUGAAAUGCGUAGAGAUCGGGAGGAACACCUGUGGCGAAGGCGGCCACCUGGGCCGACCCUGACGCUGAGGCGCGAAGGCGUGGGGAGCGAACGGG
rnacentral:rRNA from 1 species